rnacentral:misc_RNA from 1 species
AAGUCGUAACAAGGUUUCCGUAGGUGAACCUGCGGAAGGAUCAUUAUCCUUUAGCUUGUGCGAGUGUUCCUAAGACAUUUCGUACUUGAGCUCACAACGCUCUUAUUGCGCGGCAGCCGGCCUUCGCGGUCGGCCGCCAAACAACCACAAAUCCACAGUAGGCUCGUAGGCUACUGCGGUCAGGUACCUAGCAGCUGAAGCGGCCACCUUCGGGAGCCGUGUUGGCGUAAAGAUUACAUCACUCAAUAGUGGGUAACGCCUGUUUAGCUUACAAGUUUUCUCACCUUUAAAUUGCAUUCUAUGAGUUGUGAUUGUGAUAAAGUUUAUUCUUCUGAAUAGACGAUUUAACACAAAAACAACCCUAUGCGGUGGAUCACUUGGCUC